UCUUGCGCAAUGGCCGCAAGGCUGACGCAGCGACGCCGCGUGUGGGAUGACGGCCUUCGGGUUGUAAACCACUGUCGGGAGGAACGAAUACUCGGCUUCGAAUAGGAGCCCGAGGGUGACGGUACCUCCAAAGGAAGCACCGGCUAACUCCGUGCCAGCAGCCGCGGUAAUACGGAGGGUGCGAGCGUUGUCCGGAAUCACUGGGCGUAAAGGGCGCGUAGGUGGCCCGUUAAGUGGCUGGUGAAAUCCCGGGGCUCAACUCCGGGGCUGCCGGUCAGACUGGCGAGCUAGAGCACGGUAGGGGCAGAUGGAAUUCCCGGUGUAGCGGUGGAAUGCGUAGAGAUCGGGAAGAAUACCAGUGGCGAAGGCGUUCUGCUGGGCCGUUGCUGACACUGAGGCGCGACAGCGUGGGGAGCAAAC
rnacentral:rRNA from 1 species